AACGAACGCUGGCGGCAUGCCUAACACAUGCAAGUCGAACGAGACCUUCGGGUCUAGUGGCGCACGGGUGCGUAACGCGUGGGAACCUGCCCUUAGGUUCGGAAUAACUCCCCGAAAGGGGUGCUAAUACCGGAUAAUGUCUUCGGACCAAAGAUUUAUCGCCUUUGGAUGGGCCCGCGUUGGAUUAGCUAAUUGGUAGGGUAAAAGCCUACCAAGGCGACGAUCCAUAGCUGGUCUGAGAGGAUGAUCAGCCACACUGGGACUGAGACACGGCCCAGACUCCUACGGGAGGCAGCAGUGGGGAAUAUUGGACAAUGGGCGAAAGCCUGAUCCAGCAAUGCCGCGUGAGUGAUGAAGGCCUUAGGGUUGUAAAGCUCUUUUACCCGGGAUGAUAAUGACAGUACCGGGAGAAUAGCUCCGGCUAACUCCGUG
rnacentral:rRNA from 1 species